AGUGAACGCUGGCGGUAGGCCUAACACAUGCAAGUCGAACGGCAGCACAGGAGAGCUUGCUCUCUAGGUGGCGAGUGGCGGACGGGUGAGGAAUACAUCGGAAUCUGCCCAGUCGUGGGGGAUAACGUAGGGAAACUUACGCUAAUACCGCAUACGACCUUCGGGUGAAAGAGGGGGAUCGCAAGACCUCUCGCGAUUGGAUGAGCCGAUGUCGGAUUAGCUAGUUAGCGGGGUAAUGGCCCACCAAGGCGACGAUCCGUAGCUGGUCUGAGAGGAUGAUCAGCCACACUGGAACUGAGACACGGUCAGACUCCUACGGGAGGCAGCAGUGGGGAAUAUUGGACAAUGGGCGCAAGCCUGAUCCAGCCAUACCGCGUGGGUGAAGAAGGCCUUCGGGUUGUAAAGCCCUUUUGUUGGGAAAGAAAUCUUUCAGGCUAAUACCCUGGGAGGAUGACGGUACCCAAAGAAUAAGCACCGGCUAACUUCGUG
rnacentral:rRNA from 1 species